CCUACGGGUGACAGCAGUGGGGAAUAUUCCACAAUGGGGGAAACCCUGAUGCAGCGACGCCGCGUGAAUGAAGAAGUAAUUCGUUAUGUAAAGCUCUAUCAGCAGGGAAGAAAAAGAAGGUAGCUGAGUAAGAAACACUGGCUAACUACGAGCCAGCAGCCGCGGGAAUACGUAGGGGGCAAGCGUUAUCCGGAUUCACUGGGUGUAAAGGGAGCGGAGACGGGAGUGCAAGUAUGAAGUGAAAGGCGGGGGGUCAACCCCCGGACUGCUCAGGAAACUGUACGGCUGGAGUACAGGAGAGGCAAGUGGAAUUCCUAGUGUAGCGGUGAAAUGCGUAGAUAUUAGUAGGAACACCAGUGGCGAAGGCGGCUUACUGGACUGUAACUGACGUUGAGGCUCGAAAGCGUGGGGAGCAAACAGGAUUAGAUACCCUGGUAGUC
rnacentral:rRNA from 1 species